rnacentral:rRNA from 1 species
ACGGCUGGCAGGCCAGGAAUAAACUACAAUGUAAGUGCGAGUAGGCGCGGAAGAGUGCUUUGUCUCUAUGUGAUUAAGCGGCCGGACGGGGUGAAGUAAUGGUUUGGGAAUACUGCCCUAGAUGGGAGGGGGACUAACAUAUUGAAAAGGAAUGGUUUAUUCCCGCCUUACGUCUCUACAGGAGAAAGCAGGGGGAUCUUUGGGACCUUGAUGUAAUAGAAGAUCCCAAGUUGGAUUAGGUUGUUGGUGGGGUAAAGGCCUAACAUGGGGGAGAUUCCUAGGGGGUUUGAGAAGAAGGUCCGCCACAAUGGGAAUGAGACCAGGCCCCGAAUUCUAAGGGAGGCCGCCAUGGGGAAUUUUGGACAAAGGGGGCCAGCCUGAUCCCACCCUGCCGGGUGUUAGAAGAAGGCCUUUUGGUUGUAAAGCAAUUUUAGGGAGGGGGGAAGUAGUUAAGUUAAUACACAGAGAUAAUGGACGUUACUCGCAGAAUAAGCACCGGCUAACUCUGUGCCAGCAGCCGCGGUAAUACAGAGGGUGCAAGCGUUAAUCGGAUUUACUGGGCGUAAAGCGCACGUAGGCGGUUAAUUAAGUCAAAUGUGAAAUCCCCGAGCUCAACUUGGGAAUUGCAUUCGAUACUGGCUAGCUAGAGUGUGGUAGAGGAUGGUAGAAUUCCAGGUGUAGCGGUGAAAUGCGUAGAGAUCUGGAGGAAUACCGAUGGCGAAGGCAGCCAUCUGGCCUAACACUGACGCUCAGGUGCGAAAGCAUGGGGAGCAAACAGGAUUAGAUACCCUGGUAGUCCAUGCCGUAAACGAUGUCUAUUAGCAGGUGGUGGCCUUUGAGGCUUUACUUGCCGCAGCUAACGCGAUAAAGUAGACCGCCUGGAGA